rnacentral:lncRNA from 1 species
CAAAGUGGAGCAAAUACAAACAAGCCUGCCUAGCCGGGUCUGAAGUAGGACAGCUGACGAUAGAGAUUUCAGCACUUACUUACAUUAGACUACUACAAAUAGUUUGAAAGAUCAGGGACACAGUGUAGCGGCAUUUAUUACGGCGAAGACUUUACUUGGUAAACUACUCGUUCACGUUCAACGAUAUGGCAAAGCAAGGUUACAAAUCACCUGGUAAACUUUUCGGGUAAAUACUUUAUUUACUAAAACUUUGUGUGUGUCUUUGUUUGUGUGUGUGUGUGUGUGUGUGUGUGUGUGUGUGUGUGUGUGUAUGUGCGAACAUGAAUAUCUGUUGUUUUAAUCUAAGACAAUCCUGAUGAAUCAAAUCUAUAAUACAGGACUCACUUGGCGUACGAAUUUCGUUUUUCUUUUUUUCUUUUUGCAUCCAGUGUAUCCUUUUAUUUAAAAACGACGGGAGGAUUUGAUAUAAGGGGGAGCUGGCCACUUCAUAUGCCGUUAUUCUGCUUUUAAACACACACACACACACACACACACACACACACACACACACACACACACACACACACAUAUCAAGUUGGUUAAUGUUUACAAUUAUUACCCGGAAACGAAAUAAAAAAAAAUAGAGCAACAGGUGUAAAAAAUGUUUAGGAACCGAAUAUGAAAACAAAAAUGAGCGGAAAGCAAUGAGGGUUGUGGGAGAGGACUUCGGAAAAUUCACAAGAUCCGAGUUUUUCCCUCAUAACUUUUAGGAAAAUGUUAUUGUUUUUUUAAUGAAAUUUUAUAUGAAUACCUUUCAAACGGCGUGCAUUACAGUUAUAACGAAAUUUGUGGGUAAAAUCUUUUUUGAAUGGGUCGGGAGAGGAUUUCGGAAAAUUCACAAUGGAUACCUUUUAAUGAAAUUGUAUACAUAUACCUUUCAAACGGCAUGCAUUACUGAUGCCUAAUGUACCGCAAACCCCUUAUUUUUGUUCGGAAAAAAGGUGGUGGGGGAGAAACCGGAAUUAUAGGAAAAUGUUUUUCUUUUUUUCCGAUGAAUAAAUUACGGUGGCCUAAUAUGCAGCAAUCUACAAUCUGGGAUUAAUAUAUCCUGUAAUUUUUAAGAGAUAUGUAAAAGACAAUUUGUUUUAAUAUUAUAAUUUUACUUGUUUCACACACACACAAACACUAACGUGGUUUUCUCUCUCCUGUUCAGACUAUGUUACCAUUAAUUUUUAUAACUUUAGUAUUUUCGCUUUCAAACUUGUUCUUUUCAAACUUGUUUGAAUUUUCAAUCUAAUGCAAUUUCGCAUCUCACCUUCAAAAACGCAUUUAUUGGGGUUCCCCACCUUUCUCCGAAUAAAAAUCAGGGGUCUUCGGUACAUAAGGCAUUCGUAAUGAAUGUUGUUUGAAAAGAUAUUUAUAUACAAUUUCAUUAAAAGAUCUUUAUUUUCCUGAAAGUUAUGGACGAAAACCUCGGAUCUUGUGAAUUUUUCGAAAUCAUAACUAGUUGGUCCCUAUUCACUAACUGUUUUUUGCCUAACCAAAUUCUAGUAUUUAUGACUAUCCCAAGUUAGGAAGACAGACAUAUUGUUGAGAACAAUAGAUUUCGUUGAUGGUACCUGUUAUCUCAAUUCUAACUUUUGGUGGCCUAGAAGAGGUUAGAAGAGUCAAGUGGCAAAGACAUUAUUCUGCUUAGCGAAGGCAUCUGGUAGUCACUCACAGAAAAACUAUUGCUUUACCGUGAGAAAAGUGCUGUUGAACGGUUAAGUGAAAUUUGGCAAUCGAGGAUCGAAUCCACGCCAUGUCUGCAUGAGGCCACUACAUCACGUAGUAGUGUUGUUGUUAUGUGUGGGAGUUUUGUUGUCGGGAGUGCUAUAUCUCACUGUUUUGUCCGAUUUAGUAGUUGUUCUAUUUUUCACCCUUUUUCUUCUUCCUCCUGUGGACAGAUAGAUAGAUAGAUGUCUUGCUGUAUUCUAGUAUCUGGCGUUCUGAGUUAAAAUCCCGAACGUCGCUGGAAUUAAACAUUGCUACCGUUUGGCUACUGGGCACCAUCAGCGGUGUCCACUCUGUUGCAGGACAUUCGGACUCACUUUCAGAAGUUUUAAAGGGUCAUGGGACGGGUCUUUCUUCCUAAUAUAUAUAUAUCGAUAGAUAGAUAGAUAGAUAGAUAGAUAGAUAGAUAGAUAGAUAGAUAGAUAGAUAGAUAGAUAGAUAAGACACACAGACAGAUAUGUAUGCCUUGACUUUUCUCCCUCACCUCCUCUCCCUUUCAUUUUCUGUAUGUGUGUGUGUAUGUGUGUGUGAGUAUGUAUAAAUGUUUGCGUAUGUAGGUGUAUAUGUUGUUAUCGUGCUUAUGUACGCAGGUAAAAUCAGGAUUUCUCUCUAAGCUGCCCGACUUUACGCAAACCUGUUUAAUUUCCCUUUUCAUAAAAGCUUUCUUUACUCUUAGUAACAGAAAUGAAAAAAAUUAAGCUACGUGCGAUGACUCACGCAUAGCAUUUAAGUGUGGGGUGCAUGGAAUAAAGGAAAUUGGUUUCUUUUUUUUCUUCGUUUUUUUUGUCUUUUUUUUUUGUUUGUUUUAUGAGUUCAGUGACUGAAAAUUAUGAAAUUAUAAUUUUACUAGCAGAAAUACCCGGCGUUGCCUAGGUUAAAAAGAAUAAUGAAAUUUAAAAACGCCGUCGCUCUCAAAUGCUAGUAGCUGAGAUACCAACUUCCUACAAUAAUAACUAUCCAACCCAUGUCAGCAUGGAACAUAGACGUUAAGUGUAAUGUUGAAAGAGAGUUUUCAAGUCAUAUAUCUAUAUAAAAUAAAUACACGUAAUUCAAAAAUACGUUUUGUCCAGCUUAUUUCGUAACCAAAAAACAAGUACAAAUUAUAAACAAUGAAAGGCCGAUUUUUGUUAUUCAUUUGCCAGACGUAAUAGAGAGCCAAUCCAAUGAUAAAUCUGAUCCUUGAUCUUGAGAGUUUGCAUGAAUCCUACCUAACUCAGUUAAAUCACUUGAGGCUCCAAAUGAUGCCAAAUGUAAUGCAGAAUUGCAUUGUCUAAUUUUGUUUCGGAAGAGCUUGGAAUCUUGGUCAGUUGAUGACAACAGUUUUUUCAAUGGCUCUGGAGGUUGGGGGAUUGCAGGGAGUUUAAUCUUUCCACUACUGCAGCACAGUGCAGAUGUCUCUCCAAGCCACUUCUUUGCUUUACAAUGUCUGCACUCAGUUGUCAUUGCACCAAUGGAAACUCUAAUGUCAUCUGCAUAGUGAACUGCUGGAUCAUAAUUGAAAGCUGCUUCAUAGAAGUUCCUUCUCUGAGCUGUUGCAACUGCUCUUCGUUCUGCAGUGGAGAUCCUAUUCCUUGUCCACUGUGCAUAUCUGGGUUCAUCACUCUGGCUUUUGUAGUGCACAGUCUGUUUGUUUAUUGGUAUGCUUCCCUUUCCGCAGCUGUCUCUAUUUCCGUGGACAGAGACAUUCUUUUGGCUGACCUUGAUAUUGUAGACAAAUUUGACACUUUCCUUCUAGGCGUAGUUAUAUGCGUAUACAGAAAUACACAGGUGCAGAAGAUAGUAAACAAUAAAAAUAACUGGGUAACGGAAAUUAUAUUUCUUAAUACAACGGGCAGAAAGUAAAUAAGAAAUUUUUGCAGAAAAUAAAGAAUUGCACGGGUUGAAGCGAACCAAAGAGCCAGUAUCGAAGGAACCAGAAAAAAGCCGUCAACAACAGAAAAACCGAAAACAAGUAAAGGAGGCGCGUAAAAUAGACUUGCAAAACUGAUUUCUAGUUCCCUUCUAAACCGUUCCGUGUACCCUUCCUAGCAUCAGGUAAUCACCAAGUGAUUGUCCCGGACGACUAGAAAUAGCAGCCAAAUUCCUUCAACUCACACUAGAUGGGCAGUGUGGUUCUGAGUUUACGGUAUAUUGGAUAAAAACAGGAUGGUCACGGCUGGAUUGUUUUUACUAAUAGGUCAGCUCGAUCAGGGCUGACCUGAGGUUAAUAUAUCAACUGUACAAUAACAUUUUACUCACAAGUCAUAGUAAUUUCAAAACAAUGACGUACCUUUUAAUUGAUACAGAGUAAGGAAUCCGCAAUAUCUUGGAGGAAGUAGUCAUCAGUUUAUAUUUAGUACCCUAAAAAAAGGGGCCAUUCUAAUCUACCGCAGUAGCAAUUGUUCCAAAUGUUGGCACAAAGCCAGCAAUUUUAAGAGGGGGAAUUAAGUCGAUUAUAUCGAUCCCAGCACUUGAUUAGUACCUUAUUUUAUCGACCUCAAAAGGAUGGAAGGUAAUUCAUUAUGUUCUAAGUUCUAAUUCCACCGUCUCGGUGCUGACAAUUCUACCAUCCGCCACUUUAAUCUACGACGAUGCGACAUUUUUCUUCUAUUAAGCAUCUUUAAAGUCCACCUUCGUAGCAAAGUUGUAUCGAUAUUCUCUAUCUCUCUCUAUCUCUCUCUCUCUCUCUCUAUCUAUCUAUAUAUAUAUAUAUAUAUAUCUAUAUAUCUCCCUCUCUCACUCACUCACUCACUCUCUCUCUCUCUCUCUCACCCUCUCUCUUGGGCGGCGAGUUGGCAGAAUCGUUAGCACGCCAGGCGAAAUGCUUCGUGGCAUUUUUGUCUGUCUUUAUGUUCUGAGUUGGUUGAGGUCCACUUAGACUUUCAUCCUUUCGGGUCGAUAAAUACCAGUUAAGUACUGGCGUCAAUGUAAUCGACCUAACCACCCUUCUCUCUCUUUCUCUCUCUCUCUCUCACUUUCUGAGAUUAAAGAAAUACAUAAGGUAUGUUUAAUUCACGAUCGCUAGAAUCUCAAAUAAGAAAUUAGUAAUUUCAAAGAACUUGGGUUUAUUGGUAGUAUCCUUGCAUUUAGAAAGCAAAACUUCUCCUCUAGCUGUUUAAAAUCUUAAGGUAACAAGCAAGGUAGAUAACUUUAACAAUAUCAGCUAAUGGUUAGCAAUGCGAGGUAAGUGACUACUUGCUUUUUACCAGACGUUAAAGUUGAUAUUCUAAUACUGACACUUUCUCUUCGGGCUCUCUAGUCAUUUUAUCAAUGUACAGCCAAAAUGGCAUAAAUAUUGAUACUUUCCUUUGUGGAGUUAAUAUACAGUAGAGCUAUGCCAACGACAAAAUAAAGAAACGAUUUCGUAACCAAAGCUGAGGUAGCAUAUAUUGCUCUUACCCUACCACACAGGCUUUUUUACAACCUAUCAUCAUCUGAAGAGCGAGUACUGAAGCUGGUGCAUUACUGUGACAGCAUCUGCAGUUCUUGGAUCUGUUCAGCCUCCUGCCUCCAGUCGCUUGACAAUAUGGCUUCGAAAUGCUUAAACUUCUCCACUUGUCUCAGCAAUGUUCUAUUAACAUGCAGAGAGCUGUGGUAAGACUUUCUCGAGAGAACCAACACCUCAGUCUUCGCAACACUAAUUCCCAUCCCGGUCUUGCAGCACUAGGCAGUGAACCCAUUCAGUGCAUGCUGAAUCUCUUUUGUUAAGAUAAACUCUCGACAAAGUGUCAAUAUUAUUAAAAUUAAUUGUUAUAAAUAUGAGAAAGAGAUAACAAUUAAUUUGAUCAACAACAUUGUUUUACUGUUGCAACUUUUGCGCUUACCCCACACAAAAAAUAUCAAUAUUAAUAAUUAUGAAUAAUUUUGCUUCACGUUAAUAAAAUUAUUAUGGCAUGAAAAAGUAUCAGUGUGCAUGACAUCAUUAGUUAUACCAAUGAAAAUUAAUUGCAUCAACAAAAAUUAAGUAUCAGACUUGUACCAUUCUGUAAUGUGUACACCAGAACCGAUAUAUUAUUUUGUUUCGUCAUAAGACCUUAGAUAUAUAGGGUAGAGGCGGGAUGUGAUAAUUGAAUAUAUUUAUUUAAAGGACUCUAAUGAUGAAUUGCGUUGGUAUGAAGUAGGCAUUUUCUAUUUGUAGAAGAGUCUCGUAGAAGAGUCGCGUAGAAGAGCUUCGCAAAAGAGCCUUGUAGAAAAGGCUCGUAAGCUUGCAGUAAGAGAAGAAAAGUCUGUUUCAGGCAGCUAUCCUUCUUGACAAAGUAGUAAGAUUAUAAAUGAAAACUGAAAUAAAAGAAUGUUGUUCUAGAUUGCUGUAGGAGAGAGGGGGAGAGAUAAAUGGGAAUAAAACAACCAAUUAAGAUUAAUACUCCUAUUUGUAAAGAACUAUUAUUUUAAUUUCUAGAGCAUUUAUGGUAAGUGUUUGGGGAUAUCUAUUUAGCUUCACUCUGAUUGUUUUUGAUACUUCACUGUUAAAAGUUUGAAAUUGGCUCACGAACAGUAAACUAAUAAAAGAAGAUUAUUUUGGCCGAUAAAUCUGUAUCAGUAACAACCGGAAAUAUCUACAAAUCUAAAAGAGCAUCGAUAGAAUGUAACUUAUAAUUUCAAUUAUUUUCAAAAGUAUUGUAUUUAGUUAUUGCCUUCUUGAUAUAGACUGUUAUAGAUAUGUAAACGAGGAUAACAUUAUGGCGCGUUUCCAAAUAUGUAGAGUUGAAUUUUAUACAAUGUGUUUACAAAUACAGAAGUAACGAGGGUGUAGGCUAUAUCUACUAAUAUGGGAGGUAGGGAAAGAAUUGUAUAAGAUGUAGAUAAGUUAUAUCUUGUAUUCUUUUAUCUUUCAAUCACUAGAUUGCGGCCUUCAAGGCUUUUUAGUUAAUCUUAUCUACCUUACUUAUUUAAUAUAGUGUGGUACUUAUUUAAUCCUUCUCUGUUAAUCGGAUCACGAAGCAAUGUAUUUUACAUAAAAGAUGGCUACACGAUGCAGCAGAUUUAGACACGAGUUUCCUUAUAGUUUCCGUCGACUAAAUUUUGUUCACAAGGUAUCGGUCACCCGCAUUGAAAAGACUUUCCAAGGCGUACAGUCGGUGAACUAGAAUUUCUUUCAAACGUCUCAAGUUAAAUAAGUUAUAUGUAUACCUAUAGAGUUAAUUGACAAUUGUAUGAAAACAUCGAGGAAUGAUAUAAAACUUAGUUUGCACGGUUUCUCUUUUAUGUCAGCUAUAUAGAAUACGCAUGUUAUAUAAUAUACUUAGUCAUAAAAUAUUUUUGAGGUGCAAUUCUUUCGUGAGCAGUGUUAGAAUCAAAAAUGUAACAGAAAAAAAUAUGCAACUAAUAAAAAAAAAUCAUAUAUUUUUUCCACAAAAGCGCCCGCAAAAAUACCUUCCAGUAUUUAGUUACGACCGUUUACUUUUUUCGUUCAAAUCCUAAGAAGGUCGAAUACGGUUUUAAUCUGGAGUCAAUAAUAUGCUAAUGAAGCACUGGAAUCAGUAUAAUCGACAAUACGGCUCCCUCAAAUUACAAAUUUUGAAUUAUGUUAGCAAUCUCCGGUAGGGAUAGGUAUGAAUUCCUAAUAUUACUCGGUUAUAUUGUAACUUUCUCAGUGAAAGCCUUCCGCGCAUUUGCUGAAGGGGCGAUGAAUGAAUCAAAAACCAAAUAUAGCAGGCUAUACAUUUAUUGGUGUAGGAAAAUAGAAUUACUAAGAAAUCAAAUAAUUGGUACUGUUUUAUUACCAUUAUUUAAUGAUUAUUCCCGAGGACAAUAUCUCUAAAUUAAUAAUUAUUAGCUUUGGGUUACCCAAAUUUUGAGAAUGUUAUAUUUGAUUUGAAGGUGUGAGUGCUGGAUCGCAGAAAAAUAGUCAAGUACGAAUACAAUUAUUUCUACUGCAAGAUUUGGUCAUGUUAUCAAAAAUUCGGACGUACAUAUAGGAAUACAAUAUCCAAUGUAACAUCCCUUUUAUAAGAUGUAUUAUCCCGCCCAAAUUUGUAUCUCAGCGAGGUGUAUAUGUGCUUAUAGUGAAGUUUACACUGUGGUGUGUUAGAGCAUCAGUUCUUGCAAUCUACCUUAGAAUCCCCGAGAAGAUCAUGGGCGAUGCCUUUCCUUCUGUUUCUACGUCAUUAAAAGACAAUACUAGAGUGUGAUUUGAAGGAGAGUUGAUGCUUGUAAAAGCAGUGACAUUAUGGAAGCUCUUUCGUUCGCUCCUUCUACUGCAAAAUAUUUCGUGUAGACAGAUUUAUAACUUAAUAACUCCUCACUUAUCUCAAAUACAAAAUUUUUAAAAUGUAUCUCUGUUACAGUUGGAAUGGUUCCGUCGCUUUCGAUAAACAAUUUCAAAUUAUCGAUAAAAGAAGUUAUCAUCCACUUUGACUUCAAUAUAGUUCGUACUUUCUUAUAUGAAUAAGUCCACUGCUCUUUUUGAAUUUAAUUGAGGAAACAUCUUCAUGUUUGUUCAUUCCAGUUUCUUCAGAUAAUUAAAGCGAUAUCAAUAAGAAUUUAAAUUAUAAUUACCAAACACUUCAAAUGUAUGUGGGCAGGGAAGCACUAAUUAAACAGAAGUGAACUUCACAAGGUACAGAUUAAAUUAUCAAAUUGAUGUAUUUAUUCACUGAGAGUGCUCUGGAAUUAAUUACAUAUAAGAUGGUCAAUUAGUACAAUAACCACUGAAGUAUAUCUGACUAACGUCUAUAUAAAAAAAAAAUAAACGAAAACAAAAAUGCAUAUAUUAUUCAAGGAUGUAUAUAUAUAUAUAUAUAAUAAAAAUGGUAAAUAAUUUUUCUGUGGUUUUUCAUGUAACCAACAAUUAUUUACCGGUAAAUUUCGGUAUGUAAAUACGACAAAUUUAUCGUCAGGAACUUUGUAAGGUUCAGUAUAUAUAUAUAUAUGUGUGUGUGUGUGUGUGUGUGUGUGUGUGUGUGUGUGUGUGUGUGUGUGUGUGUGUGUGUGUGUUGUUGUUGAUAUCAUAAAAAUAUAUAAACUUUCAAAACGACGCGAAAUAGUUCCUCCUUAGAACUGGAUCUCAAAACACGGGGGCAACCUUCGACUUCUUAAAAUGUACUUCGAGAUCCAAUUCCCAAAAAGAAUAAUUAUAUAUAUAUAUAUGUAUGUAUGUAUGUAUGCAUAUGUAUAUACAUACAUACAUACAUACAUAUAUAUAUAUAUAUAUAUAUAUAUAUAUACACCCUCACACGUGCGCACGCACACAUGUACACACAUAAAUAAAUGCAACGAAUACGAAGAAACAAACACUUGAAAGUAAAAUCGAACCAGAUAUUCAAAUAUCUCCAAACAAGGCGUGUUUCUGACUAUAUCGUUUAUAUAUUGUAUACAUGAAUAUAUGUUUAUCAACAAACUAGCAGUAUCGCCCGGCGUUGCUCAGGUUUGUAAGGGAAAUAACUAUAAAGCAUUUUUCGAGAGUUAUAGCCAAAAAAUAGCAAAAAAAUGGAAAAUAAAUGAUGGUAAAUUUUUUUGAGAGUUAAAAAGGUGGAGUUGCGUCCCCUAGACGGUCUGUGGUUUGGGUUUCUGAUUCUCGACCCCAUGUCGAAUUUAUCGAUUUUUUCAGAACUGGGGGAACUUUUCAAAAUUUUCGCUGCGUUAGUUUUGAAUUAUGACAUUGGGCUAUGUGUGUGUCAAGUUUCAUCAGAAUCGGUUGAAAGCCGUGGUCAGAGUGAGGGUACGAGAAAACAGACACACAGAAAACGCACAGACAAACUGCCGUUUAUAUAGAGAGAGAUAUAACUUGAUUUUAUUCUCAGAUGUUUCUUCGUAGAAAUUAUAUUUGUAUAUCAUUGUAUGUAUUAUAGCAAUAAACUAUCUUAUUUAUAUUGAGACUUCUUGCUACUUGCAUCUGCAAUGGUAUUUCAGGAAUUACAACAAAAUAUUUCCCUAUACUGAAAAGUGAACACAGGACAACGACAAAAGACCAUUCGAAAACAGGGAGGGGAGCAGUGUACGUAGACAAGCUCAUCUCUCAACAGUUAUCGACCAAAAAUCAUUACAAUUUCGAUGCCUUAUUGAUAAUAUUAUUCAAUUUGACAGCGUCAUCCACCUGAAGUUGUUGGUGUAUAGAUUAACGAAACAUGAAGGAUAAUAUAAUUUAGUAAUAACAAUCGUUGAAACACGUAGGUAUGUUUCGCUCUAAAAGAGUUAUCAAACAAUAAUAGUAAUAGAAUUUGUCGGUUUAUCAUCAUGAUGGGAAAAUAGUCCUGUGGCUAUAAGAAACGCACAGGUCGAGUAAAUGAUGAUAAAGAUAACUAUACACUAUAUGUCAACUGUAGCCAACCCUAUUGCCAAUAAUUAUAUUAAAGAAGUUAUUGCUAAUAAUAACAUGAAUGCUUACAUAGAUAUUCCCUUAAAAUAAAUCUUAUUCUCCCUAAACUUAAUGUUUAUGCUGGCAAUCUACUCACUGUCUCUUCUUGUGACGACCUAGGUAAGAAUGAAAUAUGUUCUCAAGGUUCUAUUCCUAAUCUAAAACGUCGAAGAGGGCAUGAUAGGAAUAAGGAAACGCGAGAUCCUCUGGUUUACGUCUCUAUUUAGCUUACAAGUUAAAUGAUACUGUAAUAAUUCGCCAACUUUCUAGACUAAUUUCCAACCUUUAAACAAAUAUCAUUCAAUAUUUAACACCUAUAAGAAUAUCCAACUCUACUGCAGCUAGUGAUAGAUCCCUGAAUCGCGGCUUCUAACAGACGUAAACAUUAUCUAAAAACACUAGUAAUCAUAAUAAUAGUUUCAAAUUUUGUCACAAGGGCGGCAGUUUGGGGAAGGGGACAAGUCAAUUACAUCGACCCCGGUGUUCAACUGGUACUUAUUUUAUCGACCCUCUCUGAAGAGUCGAUCUCUUUUUACAGGGACAACCGUUUAUGUUUUUACAAUAGAGAUUUAUGGGGAGGUCCCAUCGGUACCCAACAGAUUGGUUGCAUUUUUAACGAUGAAGACGUUCACCUUGCAUGCUUUCACUUAAAAGGUGACAUUAGUUCACAGUUCGUCUAUGAAAUGAAAUUUGUCACCCGUCACGCUACGAGCAGAAUUCGCUGUUUUUCUUCCAUAUGUCCAUAUUUAUUAUGUGAGUAAAUUAAAAACAUUCCGGACUGAAUCCAGACCCGCAAUACUGAAAUUUUGGAUUCUCAAGUUUUCAUUACUAGGAUUGUUUUCGGCGAUUUUUUUACGUGAUUUUUUGCGACAAAUUUUUUUGUACGAUAACAAUUUUUAUAACUUCGAAAUAAAUUUUAUGAAUAAUCGAAAUUAAUUGCGAUAUCCAGCGAUUAUUUUUGAUAACUUGUUUUACGUGAUUUUCUUUGAGACAAAUAUGAUCAUCAUUGAGAUAUGGCUCUGGAGAAAGGAAUUGUAACAAAUUCUCCAAAAUAAGUCUGAGAUCUGUUUUCAGAUCUUCCCAUUCGGGGUCAGUGGCUUUAAAAGCCCUAUCGAGCAACUUUUAAGCUAGUUUUAAUAUUUAUGUUUAUAUAACAUAUUUACAAAUGUUUUGAUGCCACAUAUAAUUACUUAAUGAUCUUUUAUGAGUCUUUGUGGGUGGGUGUGGGGUUGUGGGUGUGGGUGUGGGGUUGUGGGUGUGGGUGUUUGUGUGUGUGUGUGUGAGUAUGUGUACAUUUAUGUAUGUGUGGAGCAGGGUACAUCUGUGUAUGUACACAUACACACACACACUCACACACACACACACACACACACACACACACACAUACGAUGGCCGACAGGUUGAGAAGUUCAGUUUGCGAUCAUGAGGAUCUGUAUUCGACCUCACUAUGUGGCAUCUUGGAUGUAUGAGAUUUACAAUUUCUUUGAAACGGUCCAAUCUUCACAGUGAAAUGGAUUAGACAGAAACUGUUCGGAAGACAGUCAGAUGGAUUAUACCUGCCAUUUUACAAGUCAUGUCUUUUCACACACUGAUUCUGCCUGAACACAAGUCUCUAAAAUUGUGUGUGGGUGUGUGCGCGCGCACACACAUAUACAUAUACAGACAUGCGUGUGCGCACACCUGAUAUCCAUGUACAAAUGCAUAUGCGCAUGUACACAUAUACGCGUAUAUGUGUGUGUGGGCGUGCGUGUAGCAGCUGUAAUUAUUUACAUCGAAUAGUGCUUAAAAUGUAUUGGUUUUACAACCAGAAAGAUGCAUUAUUUAGUUCUAUACAUCUAUUUUUUUCUCCAAUGCAUUCAUAAUUUCUCAAAUUGAUCACCUGAUAUAUAACUUUGAAAGAUUAAUAGCAAAUUGGUGUCGGGUUGAUAUUACUGAAGUGAAUAAAAAAUUGUAGAGAAUGUAGUAAUGCAAUCGAAAAUUGUUCAAAUUAUUUUAAUGCCUUUCUUCUACUUAGUCCAAUUUUUUGUUUCAUUAUUGUUGGCUAAUCUGUAUCAAUUGUUUCUUUCUCUUGCAGGUAAGUACAUCACUGCAAUUUUCUUUGUACAGCCAUCUUACUAGGAACUGUUGCUGUAUGUAUGUAUUAUAUAUCUUUAUUGUAAUAUUUAUUUUUAUAUCUAAAUUUAUUGGGUCUUUUAUCAUUCUAAAACCCGAUAUAAUUUUAACAUAAAAAUAUUAAACUUUAUAUGUACCUAUAUCGUGACAGAAAAAGAAGGAGGACUCACUGACGUGACCAAAAUAUAGGCUGGUAUUAUAUGAAAAUUACAUAAGACAGUAAGAUAUUAUUUCAGAGGUGACUUACUGUUAUUUCUAUCAAGCAGAGAUACCAUACAGUGACUCCAGCCCUAGCUUAUACAUAUAUAAAAACAGUGGGAUGUAAUUUGAGGAAGAUUUGGGUUAUAUUUGUAUCACCGCUACUAAAAACAUAGAAGUUGGUUCACACAUAUAUAUCUAUAUAGGUAAGACCGAAAAAAGAGUUUGAGGGAGGCUUAGCUAGAUUUCUAGCAGAAUCCCUAUUCCAUCUUCGAAUACUUACUUGAUACUUCUUUCACGAAAACUAAUGAUGUAAUAAGACGGAUGCAGGUGCAUGCUUUUUUCUAUGAAUAUAGUAAUUCGUUUAAUCUUGAAUCGUAUAAAAAAUUCUCCGCAUAAUCACUUUUCGAAUUUGAUCUAUUAAAUAUGGUGAAGAACAUUAAAUUUUCUAAACAUGUGAAUGCUUACCAAAAGGAAUUAUCUAUAAUUGUAUCUAAAUGUUAAACUGUUACCUAAUCUACAUAAUUUCUUCGACAAGACCGGCAAUUAUGUGCUCUUUCUGCGAAAUAAUAUCGUACCUUUAUAGCUAAGGAACUGAGUGAAAACUACAAGACUGUGGAUCAAUCACUUCUGAAUUAAAUCAAUCACCAGUAUUGUGAAAUCGUUAGAAAAUUAUAAGUUGAGGACAAGACUCAACCAUAGACCCCCUUACUUUAGUUUGAAAGAUCACAAGGCCGACUUCAUCAUCAAACAUUCUAUGAGAAUCAUUUGGCCCACUAAAUCCGACCUUGAAUUAGUGAAACUGUUUCAGAUAGUUAAGGAAAAACUUAUGAUUAACCUUUGAUCGAAUACAGGUGAGAUAAUAAUUUUCUGUCUCCUCCAAAAUAAAAAUAAUUCCUCAUUCUUGCAGUUAGACAUUAGCAGCUAUUAUUCCUUUGUUUCUCUGAUUUUGCUUGGAAACUAAUACUGCUUUCCUUUAGAUAUUAACCUUUAUUUCUUUGAACAAGACAUGGUGUAGAAUGUCAAAUAAUGAUAUUUGAUAUAACAAUGGUAUUGUCUAAUUCUGUACAAGUUACUGAUUAGGUUUUUUUUCAACUCCAUUUACAUUUUUAAAAUUAUAGGUGUGGUCUUUAUAGAGAUGAUGCUCUUCCAUUUGUCACAGGGAUUUCUAAAUCUGGUUUGGAGCAUGUUAAAAAAGUUUUACACAUUUUUCAGCAAUUAUAAUCUAUCAAUAAAUUUCGACACUAGAUGUAAAAUAGCUAAUUUGGUGGGUAUCACUUUAGAUUUAAACUCAUCGUUAUACUAUCCCUUUGAUUAAACUAACAAAUAUAUGAAUGUUGACGUUAACCGCUAUAGAUCUGUCUUUAUUGAUACAAUAAAUAGUAUAUCUGUUAGAAUCUCUACCUUCUCCGCUAAUGAAGAUAUAUUCGAUAGCCACGCUCACUAUAAUAAUCAAGCUUUGCUUGCUGGUGAGGGGGGUCUUUGAUGAAAUAAAGUACAUACCGGACACAAAGUUCAGAAUAUUCUUAACAUUAUUAAUUCCACACAAUAUGCCAACAAUAGCCAAUCCUAAUUCACUUAAUAUGUCUAAUACUAAUAAUUCAGAUUCGUCUAAUUUUCACUCUCAAUAGAUCAUCCGGUGAAAUAAAUCUUUCUUAUACGAAAUAUUGCGGACAACUAUAUGUCUAUCCCGUUUCUGCAUGUGAGUAAUUUUAAUAUUGACUGCUCAGGGAAGAACAAUACGUCGUUAGUAAGAUGUCUACACUUAUCCAAAAAUGUCAACGAGGGCAUAGUAGGAAUAAGAAAUGUGGGGUUCUAUAAUUUAGACCGCUGGUCUACUUACGCGUUAAAUCAUGCCGAAAUUAUUUUUCAUUAUUCCAAAGUCUAAUUUCCAACCUCUAAAUAUCACUCGAGAUUUAACAUAUUAACUAAAAAAAUUAUCCAAUUAUCCACUCUACUACACCAUAAUUUCUUAUCAAUUAUUUCUACCUCUAACAGAUGUAAUCUUGGCAUAAAAGACUUUACUAAUAAGAAUAGUGAUAAUUAUCGUGAUGAUAAUAAUAAUAAUAAUAAUAAUAAUAAUAAUAAUAAUAAUAAUAAUAAUAAUAAUAAUAAUAAUAAUAAUGAUAUAAGUGAACUAACCUAAAUAGACAGGAAAUUAAGAAAAAUAAUAACAGAAUCUAGGAUGCACCACCCAAAAACUGGCAUAAAAAGGCUAUAUAUACAACGUAUAGAAUGUGGUAGAGGCCUUAUACAGCUGGAAAAUUAUUAUAAAAUAACCAGCAUAGGACUGCAAAAAUACCUAUUUCAGAAGCAAGGAAAACUGAUACAAAUAGCCGCAAAACACGAGCAAAACUAAAAACUGUUCUCAGUAUUUAAGGUAGCUGACAAAUACAAACAAGAAAUCAUACUACCUAACAGAUGAGAAGAAGAAGAAGAAGAAGAAGAAGAAGAAGAAGAAGAAGAAGAAGAAGAAGAAGAAGAAGAAGAAGAAGAAGAAGAAGAAGAAGAAAAGCUAUAAAACAAUUGAAAACCAAACUAAAACAAGACCAGCAACGGACCAUGAUAAAACGAUGGCUAGAAAAGCCCCUUCAUGGCAAAUACUAAAUGCUAUAGAAAUAAACAGAAAAAAUCCCAGCAAUGGUUGAGAAGCUCAGGACUCAAAGCAGAGACGGAGGGAUUUUUAAUUGCAGCACCAGAAAUUUUUAAUUGCACCACCCCACCAGAAAUUACCAAAAACAUAUAAUGAAAAGAAACAUAACAAGUAACUGCAGAAUAUGUGGAGAUGGACAAGAAACAAUAAAUCAUAUUAUCUCUGACUGCCCAGUCCUGGCUAAGAAAGAAAUAUACUUACACACAUGACAGAGCUGGUACCUACAUACACUGGAAGCUAUGCCAACACUAUGGAAUAACAACAGAAAAAAGAUGGUAUAGGCACACGCCGGAAAAGGUCACAGAAAAUGAGAAAGCAACCAUGUCUGAACGUGUCAAAGUGCUGUCAUCUGCCUGUCGGCUCUACUCCUGCAACUCAACUUGAUUUCGAGCCGGGUCGUCUGCUGCUGGAGAGGACCGAUCAGGUAAAGGACCUGGGUAUCUUGGUGGAUUCCUCCUUUUCGCCUUCGGCCCAGUGCGUCCAUGCUGCCAACAAAGCGCGCGGAAUUCUGUUUUUGAUUCGACGGUCAUUCGGAAUGCUCACAGCAGCCAUAUUCCUGCCACUCUAUGUCACGCUGGUGAGACCCAUAUUGGAGUAUGGGAUUCAAGCCUCUUCUUCUUAUCUCCUCAAAGACAUACAGCAUCUCGAAAGAGUCCAGAGGCUGGCUACCCGCAUGGUUCAUGGUCUCAAAAAUUUGUCCUACGAAGAAAGGCUGAGGACGCUCGACCUUUGUUCUCUUGAAAAACGCCGCCGCCGUGGUGAUCUCAUUCUCGCCCACAACAUCAUAAGCGGGAAGUGUAACCUCUCGGAAGAGCUGUUCUUCACUCCUGCUCCGGAGCGUCGGCUGCGGGGUCAUUCCGAAAAGCUCUACCUGCGACGAUUUCAUCUCAAUCGAAGGAGAGGAGCUUUCUCCGUCCGGGUUUCGGAUCCGUGGAACAAGCUGCCAGACGAGAUGGUGAAGAUGCCGACGACCGCUUUGUUCAAAGCCUCCCUGGACCUCAAGUGGCCUGAACUCUUUACAUGAACACCACCCUGUACUUAACUCCAUGUCCCCCUACAUGGCCUUGCUAUUUGCUUUUGAGCCAAAUUAACUAACUAACUAACUAACUAACCAUACUCUGGGAUAUGCCAAUACACACAGAUAGAGAAAUUAAGGCCAAUAGGCCAGAUAUAGUUGUCAGAGAUCAUGUUCAUAUCCUACGCAAAAUACUUUCUAUGUAAUCUCAAGUUUUAAAACAAACAUAAUUUUCGUUUUUUUUUUAGACAUUCACUAGUACAACACUAAAUACAAAACCAAAUAUAUGCCACACUAGGCAUAACAACAACAUGAACUUCCAACCUGUUGUCUCUUGAGGUCUCUGGGUGAGACUUGGAGCCAACUGAUACAAAUAUAAAGCAAAAGUCAAACAUAGAAUAAUAAUAAUAAUAAUAAUAAUAAUAAUAAUAAUAAUAAUAAUAAUAAUAAUAAUAAUAAUAAUAAUAAAGCAAGAUAUGACAGGGUCGGCCAGUAUUUACACAUAUGUCGGCAUUAUAAAAUCAAAACUGCUGACAAAUGGUAUAAACACCAUCCUGAAGCUGUGACUGAGGGAGAAAAUGUGUCGAUUCUCUGGGACUUCCCCGUACAUACCGACAAAACUAUAAAAGCAAAUAAACCGGAUAUUAUUAUAAAAGAUCAGACAAAAUAGGUAUGUUUAUAAAUUGACAUGAGUAUUCCUUGCGAUCGCAAUAUAGCGGCGAAAGAAUUUUCCAAGAUCAGUAAAUAUAAAGACUUGCUAAUAGAAAUUGAAAAAAUGUGACAUCUCAAGGCGACUACAGUACCAGUGACUGUAUGAUCUCUAGGAAGGAUAAAAAAAAAAAGGUACUGAAACCUAUUUGAAAAUGAUACCAGACUUACCAUCCCUACAGGAAGUGCUAAAAAAUCUUGUUAACUGGAACGACUCAUCUUCUGAGAAGAGCAUUAUCGCUGUGAAAACAACAUCAAUUCAUGAAUUUAAUUAUUUAUUUAUUUAUUUAUUUAAUACAUAUUUUACCUGUGAAUUUGCGUGUGUAAUAUGGGAAUGCAUACAAUGAGCUUCUCUGCCCUGGGUGUACGAAAACACUCGGCAAAGAAAUGGAAGAAAAUUUGAAGAAGGAAAAAAAAAAUAAUAAAUAAUAAUAAUAAUAAUAAUAAUAAUAAUAAUAAUAAUAAUAAUAAUAAUAAUAAUAAUAAUAUAAAUAGAAUGCAACAUAGAUUACAAGAAGAUUGGCAAUAAUAUAAGAACAUGAAUAAUAACCAGAAUCAUGAUUACGAUAUUAGUAGAGGUUAUGACGAUGAUACUGAGAUUGGUGACAAUAAUGGUGAUAUUAGUAUUAAUGAUAACAGCUCCAUUACUCGUAGCAUGAUUCCUUAAUACUGCAAUUUCACGUAACUGAAAUUAAAUUUCAGAGUGGAAAUACGAAUAAUAGAAAUGCACUCCAGAAUUUAUCUUGCCCUAAUACAUUAUCUAUGUAAAUAAAAAAGCGGUAGUAACUUGACUAUUCAUUUUAAUAGUCAGGAUGGUCAUAUUCACGUUAAUAGCAAUAGCAAUAAGCAUAUGUAUUGUUAAUAAUAGGAUUGUCUAUACAAACAUUACUGAGGGUAAUAAUAAUAACAAGACUGGCGAUAUAAAAAUUUAACAUGACCUAAUACAUGCUUUUUGAACGUUUUCUACCUGAGAUGUAAUAUCGUUCAUAGACGCACCGUACAUAAUAGACACAUAAUUUAACAAGAGUAUAUAUUGAAUCUUCAUCAGACUUUAAAAGACGUUAUUUAGUUCACUUUCUUCUGUCAAAUGCAAAAUGUCAAUUGAUCAGCAAAUUUUAUAUAGAAUCCCAAGGACAAUACCAUUUCUUAUAAUGUUACUUGGACUACUAUUGAAACUAGAAGGCCUUACCAAGGUAGUCGUUUUCUAUGUGAUCUCUAUAAGAAAGGAUUUAUUGAAGUAUAAUGCGAGGGUAACAACCACCUUCUGAAUCGACAAUGAGAUAAAAUAGUCUUUUGUAAAUAUCGAUUGCAGAAAGCGCUCGCAUUUUACCAUAGAUCUAUAUGUUCUACACGUAUCAGAUAAUAGUUUGCUUUCAUUUCAAUUGCAUCUAUUUUAUGUAGUCUUGGUCUAUCCUUGAUACUAUUUGGUCUCUAUAUUUAUUAUGGAUAAAUAUGUCCUUAGACAUAUUUAUAGUGAAAUAAUUUACAAAUAUAUAACUUUAUACUUACAGCACUUCCUUAUAUUAUACUCAAAUUCUUCCUUUUAUUUUAUUUUUAAGCGUAAAUUUUCUGUACUUUAUUUUGCUUUUAAACGUAAAACCUAAUAUGGUAAUAUCUAUAGCUUUAUGUAUUGUCUAAACAAUACUUUGAGUAGAGGAUUACCUCCACCCUUCCUAUUUCUUUACUAUCCACAAGGGGCUAAACACAGAGGGGACAAACAAGAACAGACACACGGAUUAAGUCGAUUACAAUGACCCCAGUGCGUAACUGGUACUUAUUUAAUCGACCCCGAAAGGAUGAAAGGCAAAGUCGACCUCGGCGGAAUUUGAACUCAGAACAUAACGGCAGACGAAAUACCGCUAAGCAUUUCGCCCGGCGUGCUAACGUUUCUGCCAGCUCGCCGCCUUGAUUACCUCCACCUUUCCUGCGCACACGGGAAAAUUAUCGCACUUGUAGGCUUCAUCACUUCUGGUUGUUACACCUAGAGUACAAACGUGUCAUGCACGCUCAUCAGAUUUUCGGUUUCACGCAGCAAGAUGACCGAACGCAUCGAACAGAGACCAUAAACGCAUGUACCAUCAUCAGUGACGAUGGUCUUCGUGAAGUUUGAGUCAUACUUUGCACAGUCUAUCAUGUCCUGAACUAUUUCUACGUGAGUUUGUUUCUGCUGCUCCGCCAGUGCCUUGGGGAAGAAAUUCGCCGACAUUCUCCGCAUGCACAAAUCCUCCGUUAAAAUGGAAUACAUUGAUACUGUUCUUAUUUCUACUUCGUGUACAAUUUCCCGUGUUGUUACUAGGCGGUUUUCCAUGACAAUUUGCUGAGAUUCUCGAUCGGCUCCUUGUUUCGGCUCCUGCUUCAGUGUGCCUUGCUCUCUACUGAGAUGCGGCCAUGUUUGAUGCGUUUGUACUACUUCUUGAUCUAAGACUGCAUCUUCUGGAUGGUAUGAAUUUGGGUAUCAUCAGGAUUUUGGCAAAACUUGGUGUAAUAUUUCUACUUGAUGCGUUCGGUGAAAACGAAAAUCGGAGUGCGCAGUACACGUCUGUACUCUAGGCGUAACAGCCAGGAACUGACGCAGCCUACCAACGCGAAAGGUUUCAUGUAUGCGCAAGAAGGGUGGCGUCACUUCUCACCCAAAGGAUUUUUCCCACAUGGUAAAAUUCCUUUAGUUUUUGACGAAAAAAAUAUCGGGUACAUUUUGAACGCACCCCGUAUAUUUGUGAACAUAUGCGUUUAUAUAUGUUAAUAUAUAUAUAUUUCUUUAUUGCCCACAAGGGGCUAAACAUAGAGGGGACAAACAAGGACAGACAAAGGGAUUAAGUCGAUUACAUCGACUCCAGUGCGAAACUGGUAUUUAUUUAUCAACCCCGAAAGGAUGAAAGGCAAAGUCGACCUCGGCGGAAUUUGAACUCAGAACGUAAUGACAGACGAAAUACCGCUAAGCAUUUCGCCUGGCGCGCUAACGUGUCUGCCAGCUACACAUAUAUGUAUCAGCGUAUGUACGUGUAUGUAUGUAUGCGCGCGCCUCUGUGUAUUAGAAGUAGAUUUCGAAAAAUGAAUAUCACAAGUAAUCGAUAGGCCUAAAAAUAGAAAAUGUCAAAAUAUAAUAGGAAUACAAUAGGAAUGCUUAAAUCAUUUAUUGCAUCUUUAGCCUUUUAAUCUCUGCUCAUGUAAUAUACUGAGAUAUAUUUCAAAUUACAUCGCUAAAUAUCUGCAACUCUGCACUGGAUAAUUAAAAAAUAUUAAUUGAAUGUUUGUGAUUUCUACUUUAGUUAAUUGUUUGUUUGUUUUUUAAUGUGCUAUAGUUAUUUUAUACGUUGUUUUAUUAUUAUAACGUGAUAAUUGCUUUAUAGCAAGGUUUUCAAAGACCCGAAUCAGUUAUGCAAAUUUCAUUCUUGACUGAAUUAACACAUUUUCACAAGAGACCUGGAAACUAUUGUGUUUGUAUUGUUUUGGAAUGUGCUGAAUUAAAAUACGAAAUCAAUAUAGUGUUGCUUAAGUGCAGAAGGUGAAGUAAGUAAAUAUUUUAAUGCUUGGCGGUAUAUGCAGCGUAAACCAGUUUAGAAUUAAAAUUAUACGGUGUUACGGUUGACAUAACAAAAAGAGGUCGUUUUUUUCUAAUUUAGCCCCUAGCUCUAGCUUGACUGAGUAGAUCUACGAUCAAAGACUUCCCAGGUUUUAUCUAGAACUACAUUUUUAAAACUGCAGUGUAUGAUUAAAACUAUAGCACAUGAUUUGAAGGCUGUUAGAUCUGGCAGGUCCACCGAACCCUUAAUAUCUUUAUUCGUAGGUUUCUGAAGAAAAGUUAUUGUUUAGCCCUUCAGGUCAGACGUGGUGAGGAAAGGGAUUUCAACAAUGAUUACCCCAUUCGAAAAACAUCACCCCAUACAUCUUUCUCUAGAUUGAGACUUGAUCAGGAUUUUAAUUGCUAUGUUGAGGUUCAAUGCGUUGGUUCGUGAAGAUAUCGACCUCCGUAAUUAAUAAACGAACUGCCUCAUUAGGAGUAAUAUGAGUGGAAUUAAACCAUGACCAAAUAAUUUGAGGAAAAUUUGAAAUAUAAUUCCGUGUUUUCAUUCCAUACUGUGAUGAAAACUUGAUAAGUUUCUCUGAUAAGAAUACAAACAGGGUCAUUCCAGUGAAAUUCAACAAGGAUCUUUCGCGAAAGUUCUUAAAUUUUCUUGAAAUCUACAGCAUUUGUUAAUAUCCACGAGAGGAAUAAUUUCUGAAAGUUUUGCCCCAGUCAGAUCUUAUGGACAUUUAAAGUUUUAGUAAAUUUCCGAAAUCUUUGAAAUAUUGAAUUUCCUUUAUAUUUUUGUGGGCCCAUCAUUCCAAAUAGCUUUGAUACCAUACUUUGGAAAGUAUGUUUCUUUAAUCCCCACUAUCUCAAGUUCCCCAGAUAUUAAUGAUCAAUUCUUUUAACUCAGCCGUGGAAAGAAAAUUACAAAAAUCUACGUCUUUGAGGCUAUUUUUAAUAAGAAAAAUUAAAUUUAGACAACUAUUACUUAAUAACGACAGUCGGUGAGCACUCCAUCUUCUCUAAUCUUGCAGUAAUGUCUAAAAUCUAAACAGAAUACAUAAAUCCACUAACUGAAAAGCCUGUUUUCUUGUGCGACGAAAGAAGGUAAAAAACAAGACAAAGUGAAAAAUUUGUUUUGUUGUUGUUUUUUAAUUUUUGACCCAGAAUAACGUUUCAUCACAAGAUUGAAACUAUAUAAAACAAUAUAUAUUCUAAAUAGACCUAAUGUUGAGUAUAGAAAUGUAAAAUUACAGCAUUUAAAACCACAGAAAUAUUAAUGCUUAACACCUGAGUGUGGCUCAAAAUGGAAAUUCCCAUUUUGGGGUUAUAGUUCUGAGCCGCAAAAAUGAAUGCGCGACAAUUAGAAAAACUAACAAACCUGAAUAUCUUCGACAAUGACCUUUUGACUAUACACCAACAACAUUUCGACACCCUGAAACUCUUAGAAACUCAGUCGGAUAUUGCAGUGUGUUCAUGUUUGAAUAAACCGGUUCACAUCUCAAACUUGAUAUAAUUCAUAUGUGUGUGUGCGUGUGUGUUGUAAUAUUAUCUGGCUGAAACGUUAGCACGCCGGACGAAAUGCGUAGCCGUAUUUCGUCUGCCGUUACGUUCUGAGUUCAAAUUCCACCUUUCAUCCUUUCGGGGUCGAUAAAUUAAGUACCAGUUACGCACUGGGGUCGAUGUAAUCGACUUAAUCCGUUUGUCUGUCCUUUUUUGUCCCCUCCGUGUUUAGCCCGUUGUGGAUAGUAAAGAAAUAGGUAUUUCAUCUGCUGCUACGUUCCUGAGUUCAAAUUCCGCCGAGGUCGACUUUGCCUUUCAUCCUUUCUGCGUCGAUAAAUUCAGUACCAGUUGUGUACUGGGAUCGAUCUAAUCGACUGCACCCCGUCCAAAAAUUUCGGGCUUUGUACCUAGAGUAGAAAAGAAUAUUAUCUGUAUCUCUUGUAUUGACUAGACAAUCGGAUGUAGUUUUACACUGCUGAUCACAAUGCACGUCCAAAUCUUUAUUGAUUGCGCCCUUCUUUUCCAUCUUGGCCUAGAUCGUUUAACAAAAUCCUCUUACAAUGUUGUUAGAAAACAAUAAAUCCCAAGUGGCCGUACUCUGUAUAUAACAUUGAGAUCUCUCUCAUUGAAGAGGAUAUUGAUCACCUAAUUGAAAUCUAUCUUCCAAUCUGUCUGUACAUUAUUCAUCUGUGUGUAUCUGUGUAUGUAUGUAUGUAUGCAUGCAUGUAUGCAUGUAUGUAUGUAUGUAUGUAUGUAUGUAUGUAUGUAUGUAUGCAUGCAUGCAUGUAUGUAUGUAUGUAUGUAUGCGCAUGCAUGUAUGUAUGCAUGUAUGUAUGUAUGCAUGCAUGCAUGUAUGUAUGUAUGUAUGUAUGUAUGCAUGCAUGUAUGUAUAUAUAUAUAUAUAUAUGUGUGUGUAUGUAUGUAUGUAUGUAUGCAUGCAUGCAUGCAUUUAUGUAUAUAUAUAUAUAUAUGUAUGUAUGUAUGUAUGUAUGUAUGUAUGUAUGUAUGUAUGUAUGUAUGUAUGUAUCUAUGUAUCUAUGUAUGUAUUUAUAUGUGUGAGUGUGUGCACAAUUUUCAUUCAGUAGGUGCAAUUUGGCCAAAGUGCGGCUCAGCGAUGAUGCCUUCUUAACCUCAAAGCCAUGUAUGCAGUCAUUUAUUGCUGAAGUUUCUUAUCAUAGCCUGAAAUUUUUAUGAUAAGAAACGUCAGUUAUAAAUGGUUACGUUCAUGAAUUGUUUAGAAUAUAGUGUUCGGGAUUCCGCAACAUAUUGGGGAAAGCAUUCUGCAAUUUAUUUCUUCUGUUGUCAUAGUAUAGAGUAUCCUGACUGAUUACUUUCAGCUUUUGAGGAUAGAAACAACGCAGAAUUCAUCAAUAAGUGAAUCUUCUUGGAAAAGCUAACUAAAUGCAUAUUCUUAUCGUUGCUAUUUGGUUUAAUGCCAUAUGACAGUUUAUUUUACCAUUGAUCAGGAACUAUAUUUAGCUACUAAUAACUGAGAGAGAGAUAGAAGGAGACACAGACAGAGAGAAAGAGAGAGAGAGAGAGAGAGAGAGAGAGAGAGAGAGUAAGACGGGCUUUACAAAAAUUGUAGUAGUAUCAAUAAAAUCCCAUGACUUUACUGUAUAAUUGGGUACAGGAUAUCAUGCUUAACACAAUAAGCACAAAAUAUAAUAAUAAUGAUAAUAAUAAUAAUAAUAAUAAUAAUAAUAAUAAUAAUAAUAAUAAUAAUAAUAAUAAUAACAAUAAUAACAACAACAACAAUAACAAUAAUAAUGAUAAUAAUAAUAAUAAUAAUAAUAAUAAUAAUAAUAAUAAUAAUAAUAAUAAUAAUCGAUUAAAAUUACACUCGUCAUAAAAAAAGAAAAAUUAUUAGUAUUUUAGAGGUCAUACUUCUUCCUGAACUGGUAGAUUUUCUUUCUUAUUAUGAAACAUCUGUUACUUAUUUCUGAUGAAGAAGAUAACAGAUCAUGCAAAAGUGAUCUGCAUUCCAUAUAUACUCAACUGAUUUCUCUAUUUAAAGUCCAUCGAGUUGGAUUUUGUUUCUCAGGUCUCCAAAGUACGCGUAGUUUUGUAAUGAUUGGUUUGUCCUUUACUAGCAAAGUAUGUACUAUUGAUCAAUCGGUGAGACUGGGUUCAAGCAAACAGGCCUUAUAUUUAUAUUUUAUUUAAUUACUAGCAGUAUCGCCCGGCGUUGCUCGGGUUUGUUUCGACCCGCUGGAAUUGGAAUUUUUGAAAAGUAAAACUUUUGCAUUAUGUAGCUUGUUAUUCUCUUCAAGUGAACAUUUUUCUGGUUGAAAUACACCGAAAAGUGGCGACACAGCAGUGAAAAAUUCGUAAAAAAUAGGGAUUUUCAUAGAAAAAAGCACUUUUUUUAUGUAAAUAAUUUUUGGUGUUAACAUGGUCCGAUUUGAAUUUGAUCUUCUACGGAAGGAAGAGCAACCCUUCUAUCAUACUCUCAAUUUUGGUCAACUUGCGCCGCAGGGUCUCGGAGGAGAUAGUGUUAGUUGAAGGCUACCAAACCUGGCGCAUACAGACAACUUCAGCUUUAUAUAGAGAGAGAUAACACACAUUAAUACACAUACAUACACACACACACAUGUAUGUAUGGAUGUAUGUAUGUAUAUAUGUACAUCUGUCCACUUCUUGCCAUAUUUUUAUCCUUCACGUCCUACACACACACACACCGACACACACACACACUCACACACACACACACACACGCACGCACGCACACACACACACACACACACACCUUAGCUUACAAUUUUAUUUCAACAAUUGACACUGUCAUAUAUGUAUAUGUUUGCGUGUCUAUGUGUGUAAAGAGAAAGUGGGAGUAAGUGUGGUAAUAGGCGGAGUAAAGCCUUUGAAGUGAGAGAGGGAAAUCGUAAAAUAUUGAGUUUUCUCGAAUUUUGUUUAAUUGGGGGUGAAAUUGAAAUAAAUUUACAUGCCAUGACCGAAUGGAAUGUACUUGGAAAAAUCAUAGGUAAACUCCAAUUGAAGAAAUUGUGUGAGGAGUAAAUCAUUAUGUAUUUUUUGUUUCUGUUUGCUCUGUAUUUUUUUGAGUAGUGGUUUAAGGUACACUUGUAAAGAGAAAGUAGGAGAAAUUAUGGUAAUAGCAUGAGUGAAGCAGUUGAAAUUAGAGAGGCAAAUCGUAAAAUAUUUACUUUUCUCGAAUUUUUGCUUAAUUGGGGGUGAAAUUGAAAAAAACUUUAUAUGCCAUGACCCAAUCGAAUCUACUUGUAAAUAUCGUAGUUAAAUUCCAAUUGAAGAAAUUCUAUAUUGUAGAAUUGUAUUAAAAAGGAACAUGGGAACAGGCAGAGAAAAUCUGCCUUUUAUCAUAAGAGAUUUAUUAUUCAUUUAUUUAGUUAUUCAUUUAAUUAUCUAUUUCUUUAUAUAUUUAUUUUGCACGUUUAAAAUUCUUUGUCAUUAAUUUUCCCCUCUAUUCAAUACCGUACUGAUGUAGAGGUCGGUUAGCUUGUUGCUUCAAGGGUUAAUAAAACCUUACUUUGAUUUACUGGCAACACUAGUCGUUUCCAUUGUCACAUUGUCACCACUUCAAAGAGAUACAUGCGACAGAUGUUUGCAGUCUCCAAGGUAUUACUGUCAAGGAAAGUAUCGGUAACAAUGGCGACCCAGCUUAACGAGUAACUCGAAGCGUAAAGAAAACAUGUCAUCUCGCCUGGACAUUUGUCAUUGUCAAGUCCAGUGGGCUUUACAGAUAUUCUUGCACAAGCCGCGGGUCCUUUGAUUAUAUAAAUCAUUUCAUCUGACAGCGUCAUCUCUGAAGGCACCAGCGACCAUUCUAGGACACAAAGAGGUCAUCAUCAUUGUUCGAUCGUGGUCGAGACAAUGGAACUUACUGUGCUACGCCAGACGUCACGGUUCAUCAUAGCAUUACGGAGGUCCUGUUGCUGGAUGCCUGUAUCCCUGUAGAUUACAUCAGGGUAGGAGAGUGUGCGCCCUCUGGUAUCACGAGCAGAUGGCUUCCAGAGGAGAAGAGUAGAAAUUACCUCGUUUUCAGCUCUACAACAAUGUCCAGCAAACUGGACUCUUCUACCUUUUCACAAGGGAUGAUACAGGUGGUAACUUCCCGUAUAUUUGUACUUUGGUUGGAUAACGCUUCCACGAGGUAACUGCAUGAUGUACCGGUCCACAGCACGCAUGCAGCAGCCAACUCUGAAAGGUUUUGCUGAUUUGCUUCUUGGCAAGCCCGCACUCCGCAUAUCUCUCAAUGACCUUGAGUCUUUUCAAAAGGAAUUACUUAUAUAAAAACGGGAGUGGCCUAAUUGAUAAAGAAACUAAAACACUUCACUCUGAUUUACUUAAUAGCAAGACGGAAUUUUAUCUCGCUCCCAAAUACUCUCACAUGAUCAAAUCAACAACUUGUACGCUGAAUUAGGCAUGUAUGUGGUUGAGUAUUCUAUAAACACGUGUACUCUUAACGAAAUUCUCAAACUCAGCAUGAUAUACUGUGUGACAAAACUGGAUCUUUGAUUUACAAAUACAAUCCUUCGGACAGGCUUAUAAGCUAAUUAGCAACUGACUGACAAGGUUUGGGUUGACCUGAUACUGUAGUAAAAUACUGUUGCUCAAGGUACUAUAUAGGGGCUCCGAAUCUGGGUCCUUGUGAUUGCGAAGCGAACUACUGAGCGUAGGCUCGAAACGUAAAAGACUUUCUCACCUUCCCGAGCGUUAAACUAAUACACCUGCUUGUUGUUUAUACACUUGUCUUCGACUUUUUUUUCUGUAAAUUUCAGCUACUGAAUUGUUAAGCCCAUUCUAUGUCUCUACUAAACACAUACUCAUUCUGACACACACAUGCGAACAUACCUACACACAAUCUGUGAUGAUAAAUGCUAAAACAAAUUUCUGGAUGUCAGUGUGUCAACUUUCACCCCUUCUUUCACUAUUUAAUGACACUUCUACUCUUCUUGCUAGGAUGAGAGUAAUAGUAGGCAUAGAGACGGUGAGGGCGGUAGUAGAUUGACAGUUGAGAUGGUAAUGGGGUGAUAGUAAUAAUAUGAGCUGUAGUUGUGGUAGAGGCAGAGGUGACGUUGAUGAUGGUGGUGGUGAUGGUAGUGGUGGUGGUGGUGGUGGUGGUGGUGGUGGUGGUGGUGGUGGUGGUAGCUGAGGCGGUCAAGCAUAACGGUGAUAGUAAGGGAUGUGAAAGACAUUGGUGAUGGUGGUGGAGGGAAAGGCGGCGAAGUCAAAGGUAUUGAUGGUGGUGGCCUCAAAAGUCUGAAUGGUGUGUGUAUGGCAGUUGUGAUGGUGAUUGUGGUUGUACAGAAAGAGAGAGAGAGGGGGGGAGAAAGAAAGAGCACAGUUCUAUAUUUAAGAGAUGAGGAAUUAUGUACAUUAUUUACAAUUGACGGAUAUUUGUCCUCAUCUUGUUUGUUGUUAACACAACGUUUCGGCUGAAAUAUACUCCAACCUUCAUCAGAUGUCUUGGGGAAAUUACGAACCUGGGUUCUCAUUCCUAAGGUAUUUUCGAUGUUGUUGUUGUUGUUGUUAUUAUUAUUAUUAUUAUUAUUAUUAUUAUUAUUAUUAUUAUUAUUAUUAUUAUUAUUUUAUGUUUGACUUUUGCUUUACAUUUGUACAAGUUGGCUCCAAGUCUCACCCAGAAACCUCAAGAGACAAGUUGGAAGUUCAUGUUGGUGUCAUACCUAGGGUGCCAUAUAUUUCGUUUUGUACAUAGUGUUGUUCUAGUGAAUGUUUAAGAAACCAUAAGAAAAUUAUGUUUGUUUUAAAACUUGAGAUUACAUAGAAAAUAUUUUGCGUAGGACAGACAAACAGACAGACAGGCAGGCAGACAGACAAACAUACAAACAGACAAACAGACAGACAGACAGACAUAUAGAUAGAUAGAUAGAUAGAUAGAUAGAUAGAUAGAUAGAUAGAUAGAUAGAUAGAUAGAUAGAUAGAUAGAUAGAUAGAUAGAUAGAUAGAUACUCAUACAGACAGAUGAUGUUGAUAAGAUAAACAUCGAUUUGUGAAACUAAUAUUGAAAUUCAUUUGAUCAAACUCCCUACUGCCUCGGACAUCUGUCUUAAAUUAUUAAUUUGAGUAGUUUUGAUCAGAAUCAAAAUAUUGACUUGUUUGUUAACUGCUAUAUUGAUUGCUGAUAUCCAGCACAUUUACAUGAAAUUGCUUAUAGGUUUUAGUGAGUUUUUUAUCUAUAAUAAAGUUCCCUCUCUGUUUUGCUGGACCAGAGGGGUUAAAAUUACAUUUAUUUUUACUCGGAAAAAUACUAUAUAUACUUUUUUUUAAUGGAAGAACGUAAGAUGAAAAAAAAUCGAUUGCAGCUUAUGGCUUCUUUUUUGCUUCGAUUUACCACUACAGGGUAGGUAAAACUAUUAGUUUCACCCGUUAGUGUCCCCACCAAACUCAGUUCCGUUAGCAUUAAUAAACUAAUUAGCAUUCAAACUAACGAGGGAACGUCUACAAGAAAGUGCGACAUGCUAGAAAGAGUAGCCUAAUCUCGCUCAUGUUAAACCGUCCUAAAAUAUACCUAUUUCUUUACUACCCACAAGGGGCUAAACACAGAGGGGACAAACAAGGGCAGAUAAACGGAUUAAGUCGAUUAUAUCGACCCCAGUGCGUAACUGGUACUUAUUUAAUCGACCCCGAAAGGAUGAAAGGUAAAAUCGACCUCGGCGGAAUUUGAACUCAGAACAUAGCGGCAGACGAAAUACCGCAAAGCAUUUCGCCCGGCGUACUAACGUUUCUGCCAGCUCGCCGCCCUAGCCGUCCUAAAAUAUACCGUGUUGGUCACCCCAUAUCUGCGAAAUAUUAAGAUGGUCAAAACCGAAUUGCUUUUGACCAUCAUACAAGCAUAAUUAAAAUAAGGUGAUGCGCGUGGCCUGUCUUUAUCAGCAUUUCUUCACAGCAAUUUUGAGUUAAUUGUUUUGCAGUGCAAGGGUCCGCAAACUCAUGUUCCCCCCCCCCCAGGCAAUAUAAAUUCUAGCCAUACCACUAGAUCAUUGGUUUACGAACUCAGGUCUGGCCCAGAGUAAAACAACAAACGACAACUGAUAAACAUUGAAUUGCAACAUAUAUUUUGCAGAAUAUAUUCUUUAUCAUGGUCGAUAGCAUUUCUUUCAAACCAUACACAUACACAAAUCUUAAAAUGGUUGAAAAACACAGUAUACAAUUUGGUUGUAGAUACUCAAUACACAGAAAAAUGGGAUGGUUACGGCUGGGAGGCAUAUGAUCACAUGUUUGAUUGAUCGGUGUUGAGAUGGAACUAUUAACCAAGUGUGUUUAACUAAUAAAUCAAUGUAGACAAUUAUAGCAAGGUCAAUGCCAGGAGUCUAAGGUGAAAUAUGUAAAGUACUUUACUGGAAAUAUCCACAUGCUUUAAUUUCCUCCCAUUUUUUCCUUAUAUUAAAACCUAACAAUAGAUUUAUGUACAACAUUCAACUCUAAAAAAAAAAUAUUCAACUUCAGGAAACUAUAUCUGCUGAAAUAGUAGUUUAUGUGAGCUAUAGAAUAAUGGUGUAUGAGAUUGCCUUCAUUAACUCUCCUGUCACAAUAAUAACUCCUCUCAAUGCCGUUCUCAUGCCAAUAAUUAACUGAUCGAUUUUUUGUCAAUUGCAUGACUCAGUCGUAACAACCGGACCGAUAGCAAUAUAGAAUAUCUGUGCCACUAAAAGACCGAUAGAAAAAAAAAUAAAUAAAAUAAAAUAAAUGAAUAAAUAAUAAAAAGUAAAAAUUUCUUGUUUUUCUAAAGAUUUAUGACUACUUUUAUAGUCAGUGAAAAAUACUAUGACAGAAGGGAAAUAUUGAAAAACUGAAAUAUCUUGCAGCAGUUUAAUAUGAAUUGGGUUAUUUCACACUUUCAUCUAUAAUAUUCGGGUUUUACCAUUGCUUGUUCGUAUUUUCUCUGCCUCAUAUUCUAUUUUGAUAUUGUUGUUUUCAGUGAUAAUUGUCCCUUGGUGGGUCCUAUUAUCCUCAAUCGUGUUAUAAUAAACUUCUUUUAUUAGUACAUCUAAUUCUUUCAGUUCGUAGUUCUACUGCAAGUGUUUCG